rnacentral:lncRNA from 1 species
GAAAAAGAGACAUAAUUUGAUAUUGAAUUUAAAAAAAAAACGAUAUUAAAUAGUUGACACUUAAUAAAUUGUAUCAGAGUUCAUUUUAUUUGAUAGUUUCAUAAUGGGUUUCUAUUUAAUAUACACCUGUGUCGGAGACAUAAUUUCACAGUGUGACAUGUAUAUUAGGCUUGAAUUAUUCGAUGGUCAGGUAAAUCACAACCGGCGUUUUGCAUUUGCGCCGAUCUGCAUUUCAUUUGCGCCGAUUUUUUCUUUCAUUUGCGCCGAUUUUUGUUUUCAUUUGCGCCGAUUUUUUUACAGGUAAAUUACAGGUUAAUUACAGGUGAAUAGAUAUAAGAAGAUUUGGUAUGAGUGCAAAUGAGACAACUCUCCAUCCAAGUCAUGUUUUUUGUUAUAUUUAUCAUUAUAGACCUCUUCCGUCAUCCAGUUGUACACUAUAUUUACAUACUUUAAAAUCAAGAAGUAAAACCCUUAGAUUAAAACACUCUGGUUUAUACUAAAAUGACUUUUUAAAAUCUAUUUACAGCAU